rnacentral:lncRNA from 1 species
CUGACUAGAGAACAAACUACCAAUUAACGAGCGAGGAAACAGGGCCAGAGAAUUGGAACAAAAUACAAGGCUGCCUCUGAAAGGAAUAUCUUUGUGCUGAUGUGUCCAUCAAGAGAACAUACACAGAAGUGACACUUGCCAGUAAUUUGCAAGCAGAUGGAACUUCAAUAUGGCAAUAGAGAAAGAAUCAAUUAGACCAGAGUCUCCUCAGGAAGACUUUCUAUAGGUGGACGGUCCCCUGGAGAGCCCGCUGUGUUGGAAGAUGUAGAAUAUUCAUAUAUCUGGUGAGCAUCUGCUAGAUGCCAGGGUUGGGGAGAGUCAAGUUGAAGCAAGCAUGAACCCUCAAGGACCUACCAUUUCAAGGCAAGAAAUAGAUACAAAUACAGCGUAAUUAUCUCUCCAAUUAAAGAGCAACCAAGGGACAACUGAACUGGAGGUUCUGCAGAAUUACAACUAAGCACGCAGCCGAGGAAUCUACUCAGCUUUGAUCUCUUAUCGCUCUGCACACACAGCCCUUUCUCUGUAAGGCUAGCUGCUCUCAGCAUCACUGUGUCUAAUCAAACGUGUCACACCUCCACUGAGAAAAUAUUUACUGGAUAGCUACUAGACAUAAGGAUGCAGAAAUGAAUUAGAAAAAUUCCUCGCCCUUGUUCAAAGCUAUGCUGGCUCUUAGAACAUCUGAGCCCCCACUGUUUCAUCUUUAGAGGAUCCCAGCUGCUGGGGUGUGAGGCCAGUGCUGGAGCCAGCAGUCUCUGACCCAGAAGGGACCUGAGGUGCUAAAGAAAAGAUAUUUAACACAGACACAGAGAGGACGGUGCCACUGGAAGUCAUGCAGCCGCAAGUCAAGAAAUGUCAUGAGUGGCUCCUCUCCAGAAACUAGGAGAGGAGCAUGGGGCAGGUUUUCUCCUAGUGCCUUCAGAGACACAUGGCCCUGCCGACACCUUGAGUUUGGAUUUUUGGCCUCCAGAACUGGGUACAAGCUGGAAAAGGGGAAAAUGAAUCAUGCUACAGGCCAAGUGUCCAUCACUGAUUCCCAGAGAUGCCCUUUGUGUGGUAGGCACUUCCAUGUGGACUCGCUACAGAGUUUGGAGUUCCUGAACAACAUGGACAGUGUUAAUUUGGAUUCCAUGCUUCAUGGCACAGAAUUGGAGCACUAACUACUCAGUGAUGACUUUCUCUUCCUCUAGCUAAGGUGAUCAACAAGUUUCCUUGUUCUUUCUCCAAGUAGUAGAAGAAAGUAAAGGUCAUAAGACCCUAAUUCCAGAGGGCCCUACCCUAUAACCAGAAGGAAGAACUAUUGCACAGAGAAUCUAAGAAGAAUCUAGACAGACAGCCCUUGCUGGAUUUCUCCACUCUGUUAGCAUUCGAUCAUUUGCCUUUUGUCCAGUCAUAUUUCUGCAUGGCUGUCCAUACUUUGUUGAACCUAAGCACAAAAUGGAAAGUUUUCCCUGUAUCUUUGGGUCGUCAU